rnacentral:rRNA from 1 species
UAAGUUGGUAGUGAAAGCGUUCGGCUCAACCGAAUAAACAUUACCAGAACUGCAAAGCUAGAGGAUGAGAGAGGUUAUUGGAAUUCCCUGUGUAGGAGUGAAAUCCGUAGAUAUAGGGAGGAACACCGAUGGCGUAGGCAGAUAACUGGCUCAUUCCUGACACUAAGGCACGAAAGCGUGGGUAGCAAACGGGAUUAGAUACCCCGGUAGUCCACGCCGUAAACUAUGGAUGCUA